rnacentral:lncRNA from 1 species
UGAGUUACGGGAGGUUUUCGAGAGCUAUAGAAUCAAAUCUGCAAAGCUGCAGAUUUUGAGCUCUCGGGGACCGGUCCCUGGUGGGAGAGACCGGUCCCCGAGCGCGUAUGAAAUGAGACAGCCGAAAAAUCGGCUAAGUCCUGAGAAACCAGCUCUCGGGAACCGGUCCCUGACUGAGAGACCGGUCCCCGAGAGACCGGUCCCCUAAGGAGAGACUGGUUGCACUGCGCGCAGCAGCUCUGGCUGCGCUGGGACGACGUUCGGGAACCGGUCCCUGAAGGAGAGACCGGUCCCCGCCUGCGCGAACUGCCCAGUUCGGGCAGUGUAUUAAAGUGAAAGUUGAGGGGUUUAGCUGCAAUUUUG